AUGUGGACAGGACAGUGUGGCAGUAGUGGAAUGGCAGGUAGAUCUAAAGAAGGGAGAGGUAAGACAAAACCCAGGGGGCAGGCAGAGGGACGUGGACAGAGAGAGAUGAAGAAAGUACAGGUGGACAUAGGGGAAAGGACAGGGAAAGUGAUGGACAGACACUCACGGAGAGUCUAUGUGUUGCUUACUGUGGGUCUGCAUUUAACUAUUUCAUGUCUGGGUCUCUUUUGUGCAUCCCUCAGUCUCUGUGGCCACGUGUCUCUCAUUCUCUCUAAGUGUUCCUUUCUCUGUCUCUGGCUGAGAGGGCACUUGCUGGGGCUAAAGAAGAGUUGUCACCAGAACAAGUUGGGCCAGGGUGGGGAGAAGCAGGGGAGAGGGGAGGCAAGAAAGAGAAAGAUAGGACAGCGGUGGUGACGGUGACGCCUGAGAGCAGGGGAGCAGGGAGCAAGCGCGAGGGAGCUGGGGGGGCCGUAGUGGGCGCCACGGCCGGAGCGGGUGAUCAAUAUUCGAUUUAGGUUUUAAUUCCGGGGCUUUCGGAGCCUGUCAGCCCUGAUGUAUGAGCUCACACCGGGGCCGCCCAGCCAGCCACCCCACAGAUGCCCAUGGCCUGGUGGCCUGUCCUGGCCCCAGCUCCCUUGCCCAGUUGGCUGGUUCCGCGGAUGAGGGGGAAGGGGAGAGGGGGCUGGGGAGGAGGAGGCCUAGUCCAGGGGCAGAAGGAGUGAGUGUGCAUGAGUUCACCUGAGUUCACAGUUGAGUUCACGCCUGGCACUCACUUACCUGGUGGACCUGCAGACCUGCUCCUGCAUGCACUGGAGGGAGACAGACAGGGGACCCUGGUCCUGUCCUCAGGGAACCCCAGACAUCCGUCCUCAAACACUGUCUCAGGGACACCAUGCCAGAGUGCCUCAGCCCUCCUGUCAGCACCAGUCACACACAUCUAGACACACACCCCCCCACACGUGUCCUGCUGACUCACAUAUACCUGUGUGCAUACAAGCCCUGACACACGUGUCCACACACAAACGCCAACAAUCAGGCAUCCACACACUUGCCCCUCGACUCAAACAUACAUUUGCACACAUGAACUCUGACACACGUGUAUCCUUUGACAUACAUACAUGUCCCCAUACAUGCGAGUCUGCACAUAUAAUCUCAAGACACACAUAGAUACACCGAUAAAGGCUCUCCCAGUUAAUGAGAGGUGAGAGCAAUGUGGGGAGACAGCCUUCUGGCAAGAGAUCAUAAGAGAUGGAGACAGAGAGAUGCAGAAACUCAGAGUCAGAGGCUGACAUGGUGACAGAGAUGGAAGAGACACAGGCAGGUAAAAGGAACAACAGAGAAAAACUCAGAGACAGAGACGCAAAGGGAUAAGCCAGGGGAGGCUAUGAGGAGAGUUGGGGGAGCAGCGGACUGG
rnacentral:lncRNA from 1 species